rnacentral:lncRNA from 1 species
GCAAAACCUCAGUGUCAGAUGGAACACACUGUGAUGACCUGUGGAUAGAAGUUUUUUUUCUUUUCCAGUCGACUUGCUAAUGUCUGCUGGCGUUCUUUUAGCUAAAGUCUUGAGAUCUGCUCCUGGGCCAGGAGGUGGGGAGACAAUGCAGAAAUUGCUUCCUCUGGAACAGCCUUCAUUGGAAUUCUGCGAAAGUGAAGGCCAUUUGGAACUUAGAGAGAGAGCACAGAUGAAGCAGAGGAGACAUCAUCAAUGCCACUUUUACGGUGUCGUGAAAGGGCAUUACCGUGGAGAGGCUGUCGGAGGGGAGGCGCUCUGGAAGAGAGGGGGCCGAGUCCUGGGGGCCGGCUCGGUGGGUUUUCUCCCUGCCGGUGUGAGUCUGGAGGAGCUAGGACAAUUAGGCGGCAGGGGCAGCCUGGAAUCCUUUGCGUCUUCUGGAACAGCUGCUUAAAUACACAGCCCCGCAAUCAACAGGCCGCCCCCUGUCAUCGGAGAGGCUGCGGGGCUGGCCGCCAUGAGAUGAGGCCCCGCCGCCUCUCAUCUCCGAGCUCUGUCCUGGACCCCAGGGCCGGGCAGCAGGCCGGGGCGGGUCUGCACACCGCUCCUCCCGAGGAUGAGGAUGGGGUGGGCAGGAGGUGGCACCGUCUCGAGACAUCCCACCAUGAGGCUCAGGACAUCAUUCAGCACUGCCAAGUGGCUUCUCAGCCCCAGUCGUCUUAAUUCAAGUUGUCAUUCAUAGACUCGCAGAAAACUAAAAUCAAUAAGUGGUGAAAAUGGGCUUUAAAGGCAAAGUCAAGUCACAGAGGACAGAGGAAAACAUUUUUUGCCUUGAGGGGUGACAUUUUCCUGCCUGUUUAGAAUGGCUGGCCCUGGGGCCUGUGUUUAAAAAAACUUGGGGGGGGGGCAGGGGAGAGGGGAGAAAGUGAGUGAAUUUUCCUUUUAAAGUUGCACAGGUGUCCAUUGGACAAGACCUCAGUGGUGGGCCACCAUUUGAUUGGGCCACAGAGAACAAUGAGGAUGAUGGUAUUUUGGAUGGGUCUGUAUUUUACCCCAAGGCCACAGCACAUAUGUUUUGUGAUGUCUGUCUGCUGAUUGCUGUGUCACUUCCUGCCAGUUGACGUACUUCUCUGGGUCAUAGUCUUCUUAACCAGAAAAUGGAGUCAGACAAGAUGCAAUGAUUUUCAGCUUGUUGGGUGGUGAGAAACCAUAGCAGAUGUGCCAUGGGGACAUCAGGGUGGCAGUUGAGGUCAGGGGUUAGGGCUCUGGUCCUUUUGCCUUGAUAGGUGCUCAGCCGAAGAUUUCAUCUGAAUUUAGAAUUUUGUGGCAGAGAUAAAAGUUUGGGGAAAAAAAUCACUGGAGUUUGGGUUUCCAAAUUUCCUCCACUUCUGAGGGGCUACGAACAUCUGUGGCAUGCCUAUAAGUUGUUCCUGGAAACCCAGCUUGGAUUAAUUCCACCUUCUUCCGGUGACCAGGGUAGGCCAGCAGGAGCAGAGAG